rnacentral:rRNA from 1 species
UACGUAGGGGGCAAGCGUUGUCCGGAUUUAUUGGGCGUAAAGAGCGUGUAGGCGGCCACACAGGUCUGCUGUGAAAACUCGAGGCUCAACCUCGAGCUGUCGGUGGAAACCGUGUGGCUAGAGUCCGGAAGAGGAGAGUGGAAUUCCCGGUGUAGCGGUGAAAUGCGCAGAUAUCGGGAGGAACACCGGUGGCGAAGGCGGUUCUCUGGGCCUUACCUGACGCUGAGGAGCGAAAGCGUGGGGAGCGAACAGG